rnacentral:tRNA from 1 species
GUGGGCGUGCUGGAGUGGUUAUCAGGCAUGACUAGAAAUCAUGUCUGUUUCGACCGCGUAGGAUUGAAUCCUGCCGCUCACG